rnacentral:rRNA from 1 species
AGAGUUUGAUCAUGGCUCAGGAUGAACGCUAGCGGCAGGCCUAAUACAUGCAAGUCGAGGGGCAGCGGGUGUAGCAAUACAUGCCGGCGACCGGCGCACGGGUGCGUAACACGUAUACAAUCUACCUGUAACAGGGGGAUAGCCCGGAGAAAUCCGGAUUAAUACCCCAUAAUAAGCGAAGUGGCAUCACUUUGUUUUGAAAAUCACGAUGGUUACAGAUGAGUAUGCGACUGAUUAGUUAGUUGGUGAGGUAACGGCUCACCAAGACCACGAUCAGUAGGGGUACUGAGAGGUUAAACCCCCACACUGGUACUGAGACACGGACCAGACUCCUACGGGAGGCAGCAGUAAGGAAUAUUGGACAAUGGGCGCGAGCCUGAUCCAGCCAUGCCGCGUGCAGGAAGACGGACCUAUGGUUUGUAAACUGCUUUUGUACCAGAGAAAACCCACCUACGUGUAGGUGGCUGAUAGUAUGGUAAGAAUAAGCAUCGGCUAACUUCGUGCCAGCAGCCGCGGUAAGACGAAGGAUGCAAGCGUUAUCCGGAUUCAUUGGGUUUAAAGGGAGCGUAGGCGGACAAAUAAGUCAGUGGUGAAAUCCCGUAGCUUAACUAUGGAACUGCCAUUGAUACUGUUAGUCUAGAGUACAGUUGCCGUUGGCGGAAUAUGACAUGUAGUGGUGAAAUACUUAGAUAUGUCAUAGAACACCGAUUGCGAAGGCAGCUAACGAAGCUGUAACUGACGCUGAGGCUCGAAAGUGCGGGGAUCAAACAGGAUUAGAUACCCUAGUAGUCC